CUCUCCCUCGCUCUGGCUGAGCCCUUGGCAUUGGGUUCAUUGUCAUGUAUGGAAUUGAGGGGAAAAAAGGCGCACCAUAAAAAUCUCUUCAUUAACACACUGAUAGCAUCUUUUAUUUCCCUUCGCUCAAUCAGAAGUUUUCUCUACCAACCAUUAGUCAUGUUUCAUCAAAGCAACAACUACCUAAAUGAAUACUAAUGUGCUAUAGGACUUCAUCCUUCUUGCAUUUUCAUAAUUGUCAUGGGAAAUGAAGAUCCAAUCAGAGUCGUAGCCUAUAGCAGAGGAAAUGCAUGAUUCAGAAGACAGCCCAGGAUUGCUUUCUCGCUGUCGCCAGAUAACUCUGAACUGUAGACUCUGCAGAACUUCUAUGGGCUGAAAGGGUUCUUACGCCACAGAUUUCUUGCUUUUAUGAUCGCCAGCGUCAUUGAAAGUAAAUUCCAGAUCGUGCUACAGGAGGAAAGCAAAGACACUGUGUAGCAAUAGCGUCUUGUGUCUGACACAGAUUUUCAUCCUUUUGAUUCAGAUCUUUGGAAAAGAAAACAGAACGAAGGAAUAAAAACAAACAGAUGCCAGAGAGAGAUUGCGGCAUGAAAUCUUUGCUAUGUUGAUUGUUUACAAAUUGUGUCCGAGUCUUCUAUCCUCGUUUAUUAAAAGAUGUUGGAAAAUAACCCAGGUCUUAAGUUUGGUUAAGAUCUGGAUGCGGGGGCAUGAUCCCCUUAUUGUAUUCAUUUUUUCAUUUCAUUCUUUUAGUAAUAGAAUUUCCCAAGUUCUGGUUGAGUACACAGACCCAGAGCCUAUUUCCAAAGGCUCCCCUGAAGCUGGGUAUAUGAUGACAUUCUGGGCGAUGGGAUGUGAGCUGUCUUUUAAAAGAAGCUGAUGAUGCGGUGGAAUGGGGAAAGGUGCAAUGAAUGGGACAUCCUGGGAAGAGUGGAGCCACAAGUUAGAAGGGGACGCUGAAAGAGUAAAUUGGAUUUUAUGUAAAUUGGACCUUAAUUUUAAAAACAGAAGAAGAAGCAGGAGAAGAACAAGAGGAAGAAGAGGGGAAGAAGCAGAAGGAGGAGGAGGAGAAGAUGAUCCCGGGGUCCUGGAGCAUCUCAUGGAACAGAGUCAGUUUUCAGUCCUGACCUGCCCACAAUUCCUGCACUCAUCUGUUAAAGGGAAAUAUACUUCCCUUCUGCUGGAGGCACUGGGUUUGGGGGUAGUUGUGUUACGGCAACUUAGGCUAUACCCUAAUGAUGAGAGAUGUUCUAAAUUUUACACACUUGCUAUUUUCCCAUUGGCUGAAGGGCUUGUGAGACACAGUGUAUUUUGUUUUAUUUUAUUUUAUUUUAUUUUAUUUUAUUUUAUUUUAUUUUAUUUUAUUUUAUUUUAUUAUUUUAUAGGGCUGCCCUCGCAGCAUAUGGAGGUUCCCAGGGUAGGGGUCCAAUCAGAGCUACAGCUGCCAGCCUACACCACAGCCACGCCAGAUCUGAGCCAUGUCUGCAACUUACACCACAACUCAUGGCCACACCGGAUCCUUAACCCACUGAGCAAGGCCAGGGAUGGAACCCACAACCCCAUGGUUCGUAAUCAGAUCCAUUAACCACUGCGCCACAACAGGAACUCCCACAGGGUAUUUAGAAGGGAGAGAAAAAUGGGUUCUCGAACACUCUUUAUCUAGAUGGUGGACAAAGCUCACCUUCCCGUUAUAGGCACUUUCAGGUUAUUAUGUGUCCUCAGCAUCUCAAAGAGUUUGGGUUCCUUUUAUUUUUUCUGUUGUAUGUUAACAAUUAAAAUGACUGGGCU
rnacentral:lncRNA from 9 species